GACGAACGCUGGCGGCGUGCCUAAUACAUGCAAGUCGAACGCUGAAGAGAGGAGCUUGCUCUUCUUGGAUGAGUUGCGAACGGGUGAGUAACGCGUAGGUAACCUGCCUUGUAGAGGGGGAUAACUAUUGGAAACGAUAGCUAAUACCGCAUAACAAUGGAUGACACAUGUCAUUUAUUUGAAAGGGGCAAUUGCUCCACUACAAGAUGGACCUGCGUUGUAUUAGCUAGUAGGUGAGGUCAUGGCUCACCUAGGCGACGAUACAUAGCCGACCUGAGAAGGUGAUCUGCCAGACUGGGACUGAGGCACGGCCCAGACUCCUACGGGAGGCAGCCGUAGGGAAUCUUCGGCAAUGGGGGCAACCCUGACCGAGCAACGCCGCGUGAGGGAAGAAGGUUUUCGGAUCGUAAAGCUCUGUUGUAAGUGAAGAACGGGUGUGAGAGUGGAAAGUUCACACUGUGACGGUAGCUUACCAGAAAGGGACGGCUAACUACGUG
rnacentral:rRNA from 1 species